rnacentral:misc_RNA from 1 species
AGCAGCCGCGGUAAUUCCAGCUCCAAUAGCGUAUAUUAAAGUUGUUGCAGUUAAAAAGCUCGUAGUUGAAUUUCGGGAUCAAUUUAUUGGUCGUGCUAUUGUACGUACUGGUAUUAUUGAUCUCUACCUUCUGACGAACCAUGAUGUCAUUAAUUUGGUGUCUUGGGGAAUCAGGACUGUUACUUUGAAAAAUUAGAGUGUUUAAAGCAGGCUCACGCUUGAAUACAUUAGCAUGGAAUAACGAAAUAGGACGUUUGAUUCUAUUUUGUUGGUUUCUAGGAUCGACGUAAUGAUUAAUAGGGAUAGUUGGGGGCAUUAGUAUUCAAUUGUCGGAGGUGAAAUUCUUGGAUUUAUUGAAGACUAACUACUGCGAAAGCAUUUGCCAAGGAUGUUUUCAUUAAUCAAGAACGAAAGUUAGGGGAUCGAAGACGAUCAGAUACCGUCGUAGUCCUAACCAUAAACUAUGCCGACUAGGGAUCGGAUGAUGUUAAUUUUUAAUGACUCAUU